rnacentral:rRNA from 1 species
UACGUAGGGAGCAAGCGUUAUCCGGAAUUAUUGGGUGUAAAGGGUGCGUAGACGGGAGAGCAAGUUGGCUGUGAAAUCCCUCGGCUUAACUGAGGAACUGCAACCAAAACUACUUUUCUUGAGUGCAGGAGAGGAAAGCGGAAUUCCUAGUGUAGCGGUGAAAUGCGUAGAUAUUAGGAGGAACACCAGUGGCGAAGGCGGCUUUCUGGACUGUAACUGACGUUGAGGCACGAAAGUGUGGGGAGCAAAC